rnacentral:rRNA from 1 species
AUUGAACGCUGGCGGCAGGCUUAACACAUGCAAGUCGAACGAGUGGCGGACGGGUGAGUAAUGCUUGGGAAUCUAGCUUAUGGAGGGGGAUAACUACGAGAAACUGUAGCUAAUACCGCGUACUCUAGGAUGAGCCCAAGUGGGAGUAGCUAGUAGGUGGGGUAAAGGCUCACAUAGGCGACGAUCUCUAGCUGGUCUGAGAGGAUGAUCAGCCACACUGGGACUGAGACACGGCCCAGACUCCUACGGGAGGCAGCAGGGGGGAAUAUUGCACAAUGGGCGCAAGCCUGAUGCAGCCAUGCCGCGUGUAUGAAGAAGGCCUUAGGGUUGUAAAGUACUUUCAGUGGGGAGGCGUUACCCGCAGAAGAAGCACCGGCUAACUCCGUGCCAGCAGCCGCGGUAAUAC